rnacentral:rRNA from 1 species
UACGUAGGGGGCUAGCGUUGUCCGGAAUCAUUGGGCGUAAAGAGCGUGUAGGCGGUCCGGCGAGUCCGGUGUGAAAGUCGGGGGCUCAACCCUCGAAUGCCGGUGGAUACUGUCGGGCUAGAGUGCGGAAGAGGCGAGUGGAAUUCCUGGUGUAGCGGUGAAAUGCGCAGAUAUCAGGAGGAACACCUAUUGCGAAGGCAGCUCGCUGGGACGUAACUGACGCUGAGACGCGAAAGCGUGGGGAGCAAACAGG